CCGCCGCUGCCCCGGCUGCCGCCCAUCUCCCAUCGCACCGCCCCUCCCUGCCUCCUCCCCGCCGUCCUGUGUGAAUAGAAGAGAGAGGCAGAGAAGCAGCAAAGUGAGACAGAGAGCUGCGGGAGAGGAAGGAGAGGAAGACAGGAAAAGAGGAGAGUAAUUGAGGUGGGCCCCACUGGACCCCACCACCAGCUGCCACUUUUCUGCCUCCUGCCCGCAACAAAAAAAAGAAAGAAGAGAGGCAGCGACAGAAAAGGAUUGAGAGGAAAAGAAGGAAAGAAAAUAAUAGGG
rnacentral:lncRNA from 1 species